GACGAACGCUGGCGGCGUGCUUAACACAUGCAAGUCGAACGAGGAGCGAUGGAAGCUUGCUUCUAUCAAUCUUAGUGGCGAACGGGUGAGUAACGCGUAAUCAACCUGCCCUUCAGAGGGGGACAACAGUUGGAAACGACUGCUAAUACCGCAUACGAUCUAAUCUCGGCAUCGAGGAAAGAUGAAAGGUGGCCUCUAUUUAUAAGCUAUCACUGAAGGAGGGGAUUGCGUCUGAUUAGCUAGUUGGAGGGGUAACGGCCCACCAAGGCGAUGAUCAGUAGCCGGUCUGAGAGGAUGAACGGCCACAUUGGGACUGAGACACGGCCCAGACUCCUACGGGAGGCAGCAGUGGGGAAUCUUCCGCAAUGGACGAAAGUCUGACGGAGCAACGCCGCGUGAGUGAUGACGGCCGUCGGGUUGUAAAGCUCUGUUAAUCGGGACGAAAGGCCUUCUUGCGAACAGUUAGAAGGAUUGACGGUACCGGAAUAGAAAGCCACGGCUAACUACGUG
rnacentral:rRNA from 1 species